UCAACGCUCUCUACUUGACGCAAGCAAUCAGGGUCACGAAACAUUACUGUUGAAGUGGAGUAAACAAGGUGUUUGGGAUGUUUCUACCUACAUACGUACAUAUAUAUAUGAGGUAUGUGCAUAUGUGAAUACCGUUGACUUAAGCGGGGAAGCCAUUCAAAUAGAGAUUGAUGGGACAUGUGUGGUUUAAAUACAAACAAACAUAUGUUUAUGGAAGAUAGGGUGAAUGGCCCCAGGCGAAUGGGAUGGUACGUACAUGUAUGGAAUAACAUCAAGAAGCGUACCACAAAUAGAAGGAAGAGCUCGGCCAAAUAAACAACAAUGGAUGUAAGCGUAUUUUGAAUAGUUAAAAAAAUAAUAACAAUAACAAAAAUAUAUUUCCCAAUAAUUCAUAUAUUUCGU